rnacentral:rRNA from 1 species
CCUACGGGGGGCAGCAGUGGGGAAUAUUGGGCAAUGGGCGCAAGCCUGACCCAGCAACGCCGCGUGAAGGAAGAAGGCUUUCGGGUUGUAAACUUCUUUUAAGAGGGAAGAGCAGAAGACGGUACCUCUUGAAUAAGCCACGGCUAACUACGUGCCAGCAGCCGCGGUAAUACGUAGGUGGCAAGCGAUGUCCGGAUUUACUGGGUGUAAAGGGCGUGUAGCCGGGCUGACAAGUCAGAUGUGAAAUUUCGGGGCUCAACCCCGGACCUGCAUUUGAUACUGUUGGUCUUGAGUAUCGGGGAGGCAGGCGGAAUUCUUAGUGUAGCGGUGAAAUGCGUAGAUAUCAGGAGGAACACAGGUGGCGAAGGCGGUUUACUGGACCACAACUGACGCUGAGACACGAAAGCGUGGGGAGCAAACAGGAUUAGAUACCCUUGUAGUC